rnacentral:rRNA from 1 species
UACGAAGGGGGCUAGCGUUGUUCGGAAUUACUGGGCGUAAAGGGCGCGUAGGCGGUGUGUCAAGUCAGGCGUGAAAGCCCCGGGCUCAACCUGGGAACCGCGCUUGAGACUGGCACGCUAGAGUUCGGGAGAGGAUGGUGGAAUUCCCAGUGUAGAGGUGAAAUUCGUAGAUAUUGGGAAGAACACCGAUGGCGAAGGCAGCCAUCUGGACCGACACUGACGCUGAGGCGCGAAAGCAUGGGGAGCAAACAGG